UUUGAAUCCCCCCGCUCCCAAUUCUCUCUCGAUCUCUCUCUCAAACACUAGCCGCUGCCUUCUACCACCACCCUAAAACCGCCUGAAUCAAUAGCUUCCAAGGCCAUUAAAGGCAUGUAUCUGCCUCCUAUGACUCCUACAUGCUCGAUUACUAUGAUUUCACGGCUAGACCUUGAAGAAACUGGGUCCAGAUCUCAAAUGUUUUCAGUUCUAUGGUUGUUUCCAGUCACCUUCAAUCUUCGCUCUGGCCAGCCAUGGCUAUUCAAACCCGACUCUUGGCUUCUCCUGCUUAAAUCAAUGACUUCACCAUCUAGGGUUCUUCUGAAACCCUAACUUUCAAGGUUCUUCCGAUUACUUUAGAUUCGUUUCAAAUCUGUGUUUACUCUAAACUCCUAAACAUUUUCUGAAGGUUUGUUUCAAUACUUUACCUUCAGAAUCUUUAUCUUUUCCGAUUUAGGAUUUUGUCAAGUUAUUUCGAAGUUUUUCUGAUUUUUAAUACGUUCC
rnacentral:lncRNA from 1 species